rnacentral:lncRNA from 1 species
GGGGCUGGCCGACUUCGUCCGCCGGACUGGGAAUGCCGCGAGACCUUGCGAGGGGCCUCCGUGUGCCAAAAAUAGGCCGCGGACAAAACCGCGCCCAAAAAUAACCGCCCGAAGGCCGGGGCGCCAAGUUCUUCCAGCGGAAAAAGGCCACAAAAACGGGUGGGCUAUAGCCUUGGGGGUUGGGGCUGGCCCACUUCGUCCGCCGUACUCGGAAUGCCGCGACAUUUUCGAGGGGCCUCCGUGUGCCAAAAAUAGGCCGCGGGCAAAGCCGCGCCCAAAAAUGACCGCCCAAAGGCCGGGGCGCCAAGUUCGUCCAGCGGAAAAUGGCCACAAGAACGGGUGGGCUAUAGCCUUGGGGGGUGGGGCUGGCCGACUUCGUCCGCCAGACUCGGACUGCAGCGAGAUUUUGCGAGGGGCCUCCAUGUGCCAAAAAUAGGCCGCGGGCAAAGCCGCGCCCAAAAAUAACUGCCCGAAGGCCGGGGCGCCAAGUUCGUCCAUCGGAAAAAGGCCACAAAAACGGGUGGGCUAUUGCCUUGUGGGGUGGUCCUGGCCAACUUCGUCCGCCGGACUGGGAAUGCCGCGAGACCUUGCGAGGGGCCUCCGUAUGCCAAAAAUAGGCCACGGGCAAAACCGCGCCCAUAAAUAACCGCCCGAAGGCCGGGGCGCCAAGUUCGUCUAGCGGAAAAUGGCCACAAAAACGGGUGGCCUAUAGCCCUGGGGGGUGGGGCUGGCCGACUUCGUCCGCCGGACUGGGAAUGCCGCGAGACCUUACGAGGGGCUUCCGUGUGCCAAAAAUAGGCCGCGGACAAAACCGCGCCCAAAAAUAACCGCCCGAAGGCCGGGGCGCCAAGUUCUUCCAGCGGAAAAAGGCCACAAAAACGGGUGGGGUAUAGCCCUGGGGGUUGGGGCUGGCCCACUUCGUCCGCCGGACUCGGAAUGCCGUGACAUUUUCGAGGGGCCUCCGUGUGCCAAAAAUAGGCCUCGGGCAAAGCCCUGCCCAAAAAUGACCGCCCAAAGGCCGGGGCGCCAAGUUCGUCCAGCGGAAAAAGGCCACAAAAACGGGUGGGCUAUAGCCUUGGGGGGUGGGGCUGGCCCACUUCGUCCGCCGGACUCGGAAUGCCGCGAGACUUUGCGAGGGGCCUCCGUGUGCCAAACAUAGGCCGCGGGCAAAGCCGGGCACAAAAAUAACCGCCCGAAGGCCGGGGCGCCAAGUUCGUCCAACGGAAAAAGGCCACAAAAACGGGUGGGCUAUAGCCUUGGGGGGUGGGGCUUGCCAACUUCGUCCGCCGGACUCGGAAUGCCGCGAGACUUUGUGAGGGGCCUCUGUGUGCCAAAAUAGGCCGCGGGCACAGCCGCGCCCAAAAAUAAC